UACGAAGGGGGCUAGCGUUGUUCGGAAUUACUGGGCGUAAAGCGCACGUAGGCGGAUAUUUAAGUCAGGGGUGAAAUCCCAGAGCUCAACUCUGGAACUGCCUUUGAUACUGGGUAUCUUGAGUAUGGAAGAGGUAAGUGGAAUUGCGAGUGUAGAGGUGAAAUUCGUAGAUAUUCGCAGGAACACCAGUGGCGAAGGCGGCUUACUGGUCCAUUACUGACGCUGAGGUGCGAAAGCGUGGGGAGCAAACAGGG
rnacentral:rRNA from 1 species